UUCUCAUUGCGCCCUAUGAACUCUACACACAAGUUCUUGGCUUUAUAAGAAACGGUGGCCGACAUAAUGGUCCCAUUCGCGUAACUCCGCCACAUCUUGUUGGCAACAGACUUGAUGGAAUUGAUAUUAAUGCCAACGUGGCCACGAGGUAAGCUGUCGCAACAAGGGUUAUAAAAGGUAUCGAACUCUACCGCCACGAAGGGAUUCCCCUUCGAAUUGAACAUGUGCUCAGUGGCUACCAGGCCUAAAAGGCCAUGUGAUGCAUUGACGGUGGGAGUGGUGUAAUUGAUGGAGGCGAGGAAGAAGGCUAUACCGUCACAGGAAUAGGUGCCGUUGUCGUUGUCCAUUGAGAAGGAGAAUGUGGUAGUGAAAUUGGUAAGGUUGCCAGUGGAGGCGUCCCAUAGGCGCAUUGGUUUGGAGUAAUGUACCUGCCCUGUUUGGAAGUAGUGGGAUUUGGUGAGUUGGACCCCUGAAUGCCCGCAAGCUGCGGUUUCAAAGAAUUUGAGGGAGUCGCCGCACUUGUCGAAGUUGGAGUAGUUGAAGGACAACGGAGCCGUUUCACAUAUUGAGAUGACGAGGGACCAUAUAAAAACGGUGAUGAUACUGACGAUCAUGUUUGCUCCUACUUCCAUUCUGUAUACUUGUUCUCUCUUUAGAAUAUAAGAUAGGCUAGCUGCAGGUUGUAUACAUAAAUUACUCAGUUUAUUUUUCUUACGAUUGAAACAUUAUCCAAACCAGGCUAAAGCUCAAAAUCUGGCCGAAUUCGUAACCCGAUUAGCCUUUCUCUUGUAGAUCCAACCACACUCACAAUUCUUAAGGACAAAUCGACCCAAUACCAAAGGCAUAAGUAUAUAUAAUUCCAAACUUAGAGCUUCAUUGGGCACGUGGAAUGUCUUCGGUGGAAUUUAGACGGUAAUAGAAAAGUUUGCUUUUUAAAUUUUUUUUAUGUUAGUACCUAACAACAUUUGUUCAAUUUCCAGUCUCAGCUGUAGAAAUUGUCAGUAUGAAACCGGAAACGAAUUAAAUGCAAGUUAACAUAUAACAAGUGAAGUGAUGAAGCUACUUGGUGGGAAGAUUUAUGUAUGGUAACAGUAGAGUAGAGUACCUGGAAAUUGGAAUUAAGAGUAUCCCGAGACAGAGAUCAGAUGAUGAGAGCAAGUUGACCAAGAAUGUUGACCGGCGUUGAGGGUAUGGCUGAACUCUGAAGUGGGAGGUCGGUGAAGAGCAAUUAAAUUGAUGGCUUGGUUUACUUCAGUUUGGGUAGAAAGGAAAGAGAAGCAAAUAUAAAUAUGAGAUUUUGAAGUGAAGCUUCUGCGAAGAAUGCUAGCAGCAGCAGCUGCUUUAGGAAAAGUAAGGGAGCCAUCGUAAUAGAUUAGUCGUUGACUGGUUGAUAGAAAUGAAUUGGCAGGUGGCGAUGAUAAUGGCCACAAACACCAGUUUGGCUAUUUAGCGGAUAGACAGAUCAAUAUUCAAUAGGUUGGAAUUGAUAGAAUUCUGACCGUUAAAUCAGCUGACUUUUAGGAAAAAUUAUACCUAACGGUUGAAAACAUAUUACCAGUACUUCAUAUGUGAAAAAUGAGUUAGGCCGUUUGUUUGUUGGUUUAAAUUUGAGCUGUUAAAAUGUCUUUUUUUUUAAAUUGAUUUAAUUUAAGAGUUUAAAAUUUUAUUUGUCACUUAACAUCAUUUCAAUUAAUAUUAAGUCACGUUCAUUUUUAUUGGUCAAUUAUGAUGUUUAACUUUUCGAUGCAGAAGUCCAACAACGACAAGUCCCAUGGAAGAUGAACUCCCUCAUCUUCUUGAGUUCUCCGGCGGCGAUUGGAUCGAAAGAAGAGAGAUGGCGGUGGGCGGAAGAUUUUGCAGGAUGUAAACCCAAUCCACAGAUCCACUGAUCUAAUCGCUGGCGAGUCCCCUGGUCCUGCUACGAUUUUUCUUCUCAUUGGAUUGGUGUUCCCUCCAUCCUCUAUUUCAAGUUUCCCAUGAGGUUGGAUAUUGGUUGUCGUACCUUCCUCUCUCUCUCUUUUCUCUGCUGAUCCCCUCUUGCUCGCUUCUCAUCCGACCACCACAAAGACAAACAGCAGAUCGGAAGAGCAGAUCGGAAGAGAGAUCCGAAGAUGGUCUUGAGCGAGAAUGAAGGAGUAUCCGCCGGCCAACAGAUGAUGGUGAUAAAAUGAAUGCACCCCUCUUGCUCCGACCAUCACAGAAACAGCAGAUAGGAAGAGAGAUCUGAAGAUGGUCUUGAGAGAGUAGUAUCCGCCUGCCGAGUGACGACGAUACGGAUUUUCUCCAGGGCUCCGUUGAUCCAGUGGCGACGAGGGCCUCUGUGAUUCUCAGCCUUCAACUCUCUGGAUUUUCCUUCUUUCUGGUGAUUUCUGAUACGGAAGAACGGAGGACGGAACGGAACCUAACUGCCUAUGGAUUUAGCUAAGAGCAAGGGGGAAGGAGAUCCCCCAAGGCCGAAAACCAACUCCAAGCUCCAUGGUACCACCAUUGUAAAACUCAGCUCUAGCUUAUCGGUCUAUGAGUAUUUUGUUUGCGUGAUUUUGUGGCGCGGUUAUUUGUUAAUUUUUUUUACUAAUGAUGCUAAUUCUCAUGCUUAGAUUUUGGAUUUCCUGACAUUUUGUGCACAAUAGUUAUUUGGGGAGAUUGAGUUUCCUUAGCUGCAUCGUCUAAUUUUAUAGGGCAUCUUUUGUAACUCUUAUGAUGCAGGUUUGUGAGUCUUAGUCGUUGAGUCAUGUUUGGGGUAUUUCUGGGUAAGCUUUGGGUAUGGGUGUUGAUCAUUUGGUUUGGUGUGUUUAGGGUCAGAAGGAGGUUGUCUAGGUGUUGAUUGUGGUAGCUAUUCGAUUUAACCUUAGCUGAGUUUGGUUUAAUUUUGGCUGGAUUUGGUGUGAUAAAUGUUCUUAUGAUUUUCAUUAUCAAGCCUCCAAAAUUAAUUAUAGUAAAGUAUGAUAAGAUGAUUAAAUAAAUAUAUUAUCUUUAUUUUUAUAAAGAUUAUAUAAAACCUUAUCUUCUUGUAAUAAUUUAUCAAGAAAAAACAAAUAAAAAAAACAAAGGAAGGCCCAAGCCAUCCUAAUAAACAAGAAUAAGAAAUAGUUCUCUGCAACUACACAUAUCUCUUUCGGCCAAUACUAUCUUACUUUACAACUCAAUCACCCAAUUCAUUCCUUUCUAUACAUUCAUAACCCAACUUUUGGUCCUUACAAACUAGUCACUAAAUUAUUCCAACAAGCCUAUGUUUUAAUUCCGUAUAGCAAAAGCAAAGCAUUGCUAUUGAUUCUAGUUCAAUGCAUAUAAUUACUUAAUUUUGUGCAUCAUUAAGAAUUCACGGUAUGAAUGACAAUAAACAGUAACCAUGAAACUAUAUAUUAUUAGUUUCUCCGGGUAUAGUGUUAUGAAAACAGUGAUUACGACUAAGGAACCACAGUUAAAAGUAAUAAAGAACAAGCUUAUAAAAUGUGCUAUUUAGUCACUUUCCCUAGAGUAACCGAACGGCCCUUUCUUGUAGUGAGGAAACCGCCUGGGGAUCGGCAUCCCGAAUCAGAACGAUACUCGUGUGUUGGCUUCUUAUUGUAUCGAGAAUAAAUUGCCGUACCGGCCAAUAUAAGUAUUGCAAAACCACCAAUUAUUCCGGCCGCCAAUCCAAUAAUCACGCUCUUGUUGCUUUUCUUGCCUUCCAAUUUGUCUAGGCUGGGACCACCUUCCGAGUCUAACUCGGAGUAAAACGUCCACAUCUUGAGCGUCUGAGUCUGGUAUUUUUGCCCCGUUGAUCCGGAGAAGCCGAAUAAAGCCCACUCGGUCAGAUAAUCCUUCAAAUCCAAUUCGUAGCAUAGUGUAUUCCCGUGAACAUCAAUCGUCACUGUUUGUUCUUUGCCAGGUGCCGUCUUCUCAUUGAGCCCUAUGAACUCUACACACAGGUUCUUGGCUUUGUAAGACACGGUGGCUGACAUGAUGGUCCUAUUCGCGUAGCUCUGCCACAUCUUGUUGGCGACAGACUUGAUGGAAUUGAUAUUAAUGCCAACGUGGCCACGAGGUAAGCUGUCGCAACAAGGGUUAUAAAAGGUAUCGAACUCUACCGCCACGAAGGGAUUCCCCUUCGAAUUGAACAUGUGCUCAGUGGCUACCAGGCCUAAAAGGCCAUGUGAUGCAUUGACGGUGGGAGUGGUGUAAUUGAUGGAGGCGAGGAAGAAGGCUAUACCGUCACAGGAAUAGGUGCCGUUGUCGUUGUCCAUUGAGAAGGAGAAUGUGGUAGUGAAAUUGGUAAGGUUGCCAGUGGAGGCGUCCCAUAGGCGCAUUGGUUUGGAGUAAUGGACCUGCCCUGUUACGGAGUAGUCAGAGUUGGUGAGUUCUAGCCCUGAAUCUCCGCAAGCUGCGGUUUCAAAGAAUUUGAGGGAGUCGCCGCA
rnacentral:lncRNA from 1 species